AUUGAACGCUGGCGGCAUGCCUUACACAUGCAAGUCGAACGGUAACAGGUCUUCAGAUGCUGACGAGUGGCGAACGGGUGAGUAAUGCAUCGGAACGUGCCCAGUUGUGGGGGAUAACUGCUCGAAAGAGCAGCUAAUACCGCAUACGACCUGAGGGUGAAAGCGGGGGAUCGCAAGAUCUCGCGCAAUUGGAGCGGCCGAUGUCAGAUUAGGUAGUUGGUGGGGUAAAGGCCUACCAAGCCGACGAUCUGUAGUUGGUCUGAGAGGACGACCAGCCACACUGGGACAGAGACACGGCCCAGACUCCUACGGGAGGCAGCAGUGGGGAAUUUUGGACAAUGGGCGCAAGCCUGAUCCAGCAAUGCCGCGUGCAGGAAGAAGGCCUUCGGGUUGUAAACUGCUUUUGUCAGGGAAGAAAUCCUCUGGGUUAAUACCCCGGGGGGAUGACGGUACCUGAAGAAUAAGCACCGGCUAACUACGUGCCAGCAGCCGCCGUAACAC
rnacentral:rRNA from 1 species